rnacentral:rRNA from 1 species
AGUGAACGCUGGCGGCGUGCCUAAUACAUGCAAGUCGAACGGAGAUUAAGUAGCUUGCUAUUUAAUCUUAGUGGCGCACGGGUGAGUAAUAUAUAGCUAACUUGCCCAUUACUAAGGGACAACAGUUGGAAACGACUGCUAAUACCUUAUACUCCGUAUCUAUAUAAGUAGAUACGGGAAAGUUUUUCGGUAAUGGAUAGGGCUAUAUCGUAUCAGCUAGUUGGUAAGGUAAUGGCUUACCAAGGCUAUGGCGCGUAACUGGUCUGAGAGGAUGAUCAGUCACACUGGAACUGAGACACGGUCCAGACUCCUACGGGAGGCAGCAGUAGGUAAUAUUGCUCAAUGGGGGAAACCCUGAAGCAGCAACGCCGCGUGGAGGAUGACACUUUUCGGAGCGUAAACUCCUUUUCUUGGGAAAGAAUUAUGACGGUACCCAAGGAAUAAGCACCGGCUAACUCCGUG